CCUACGGGAGGCAGCAGUAAGGAAUAUUGGACAAUGGGCGCAAGCCUGAUCCAGCCAUGCCGCGUGAAGGAUUAAGGUCCUCUGGAUUGUAAACUUCUUUUAUAGGGGACGAAAAAAGGGCAUUCUUGUUCACUUGACGGUACCCUAUGAAUAAGCACCGGCUAACUCCGUGCCAGCAGCCGCGGUAAUACGGAGGGUGCAAGCGUUAUCCGGAUUCACUGGGUUUAAAGGGUGCGUAGGCGGGCAGGUAAGUCAGUGGUGAAAUCCUAGAGCUUAACUCUAGAACUGCCAUUGAUACUAUCUGUCUUGAAUAUUGUGGAGGUAAGCGGAAUAUGUCAUGUAGCGGUGAAAUGCUUAGAUAUGACAUAGAACACCUAUUGCGAAGGCAGCUUACUACGCAUAUAUUGACGCUGAGGCACGAAAGCGUGGGGAUCAAACAGGAUUAGAUACCCUGGUAGUCCACGCCCUAAACGAUGGAUACUCGACAUACGCGAUACACUGUGUGUGUNUGNGACGAAGACAUUAAGUAUACCACCGUCGGAAGGUACGUCCGCGAGAGUAGAAACGUACAAGUAGUAAGUUAGUACGGACGUUAGGAGACGUUACGGACCGACGGACGACCGACGAGGGGAGGGUUAGGGAG
rnacentral:rRNA from 1 species